rnacentral:rRNA from 1 species
GACGAACGCUGGCGGCGUGCUUAACACAUGCAAGUCGAACGAUGAAGCGCCUUCCUUGUUGGUGGGUGUGGAUGAGUGGCGAACUGGUUAGUAACACGUGAGUAACCUGCCCCCUUCUUCUGGAUAUCCGCAUGCAAGUGUGGCUAAUACGGGAUAUUCUGGGUCUGUCGCAUGAUGGGUCUGGGAAAGAUUUGCUUUCGGUGGUGGAUGGGGCCGCGCCUUAUCAGCUUGUUGGUGGGGUGAUGGCCUACCAAGGCGGUGAGGAGUAGCCGGCCUGAGAGGGUGGGCGGCCACACUGGUGCGGAGAGACGGAGAAGCCUACGACGGGAGGCAGCAGUGGGGAAUAUUGCACAGUGGGAGGAAGGCUGAUGCAGCGACGCGGCGUGAGUGAUGGAGGCCUGAGGGUUGUGAACCUCUUUCGGCAGUGAAGCAGUCUUGCCUCGAGUGUGGGUGGGUUGACGGUAGCUGGACAAGAAGCGCCGGCUAACUACGUG